GGUCAAGCUACAAAGGGCUUAUGGCGGAUACCUU
rnacentral:rRNA from 1 species